rnacentral:lncRNA from 1 species
AAAUUCAUUGUAUGGCAGCCAAUCCGAAGAGCCGCGAACUCGCCAGCUUGGGGAAGCGAGUCGUGAGCCAGAUCUGGAGCAGCAGCUCCCGCGAUCCUGCUCUGCCAGCUGUUGCUUUCAGGUGAAGUUUUCUUUGAGCUCUUCGGAUUCGUCUUGUUUCCCGCUUUUUCUUGUAAAAAUUUUGCCGGCUGUUUUCCGGGAUAAUAUUGGAGGAUUUUCUGAAGUUUUUAAAAUUCUUUUUGGGGAGAUUUAUUCAGGCAGCUCGUUAAUGGUGAUUUGGCUCAUUUUUUUCAGAUUUUUUUCUUAAGAUUUUUGUGGUUCAAUUGUGUUUGGUUGCUGAGAAAAGAGGUAGGUGAAGGAAAGGGAUGUGAAUUUUGACUCACUCAACCAAAUAUUUUUGAUGCAGCUGUUUGCGUCAGUCGGAACUUAAAAUUAUAUUCUCAACCGAGAAAGUCACAUGCAAAUUUAUGUUCUACUUUAUUUCCAUGCUUUCCUUUUCCUCUCUUUUCUCGGUAACCAAACUGCAGGGAGGAUCUCCGAGAUAGCUCUUUGUAUUUCAUUCCUUUCUUCAACAAAGAAAAUUAAAUUUGGAUUCUCUUUUUACUUUUAUUAUUCUUCCUUUUUUUCCUCUGAUUUCUCGGCAGCAAAACGAACACGAAAAUCAUCGAACCAGUUAUUUUAAUCUCGAUAAGAUCUUCUCUCCUAAAGCCUUCCAUUUUUUCUCUAUUUCUCACAAAGACGAUUCAUCUCCCAUCCUAUUUUCCUCUCCGAUCCUUGAAAUUUUUCACUUUUCCGGCACCGACCUCGCCGGAGAUAUGGCAUACUGUACGAAGAACUUACCAGUAGAAGAUGACGUGGCAUUGCCACCGCUUUGCACCUCAUCACCGUGUCCCGCCACGUCAUCUCCGAUGAACAACCAAAUAUGAAUUGACAAUAAAUUUAAUAUUU